rnacentral:rRNA from 1 species
CAGUAGCCGCGGUAAUACAGAGGGUGCGAGCGUUAAUCGGAUUUACUGGGCGUAAAGCGUGCGUAGGCGGCUUCUUAAGUCGGAUGUGAAAUCCCUGAGCUUAACUUAGGAAUUGCAUUCGAUACUGGGAAGCUAGAGUAUGGGAGAGGAUGGUAGAAUUCCAGGUGUAGCGGUGAAAUGCGUAGAGAUCUGGAGGAAUACCGAUGGCGAAGGCAGCCAUCUGGCCUAAUACUGACGCUGAGGUACGAAAGCAUGGGGAGCAAACAGGAUUAGAUACCCCUGUAGUCCCUGUCUAUUAUAC